AGCGAACGCUGGCGGCAGGCCUAACACAUGCAAGUCGAACGAACUCUUCGGAGUUAGUGGCGGACGGGUGAGUAACACGUGGGAACGUGCCUUUAGGUUCGGAAUAACUCAGGGAAACUUGUGCUAAUACCGAAUGUGCCCUUCGGGGGAAAGAUUUGUCGCCUUUAGAGCGGCCCGCGUCUGAUUAGCUAGUUGGUGAGGUAAAGGCUCACCAAGGCGACGAUCAGUAGCUGGUCUGAGAGGAUGAUCAGCCACAUUGGGACUGAGACACGGCCCAAACUCCUACGGGAGGCAGCAGUGGGGAAUCUUGCGCAAUGGGCGAAAGCCUGACGCAGCCAUGCCGCGUGAAUGAUGAAGGUCUUAGGGUUGUAAAAUUCUUUCACCGGGGACGAUAAUGACGGUACCCGGAGAAGAAGCCCCGGCUAACUUCGUG
rnacentral:rRNA from 1 species